CGGGAAGGGGCACCAUGACGGAGGCCAAGGCAGAACUCUCUGCUGCUGCAGCUCCACGUUCUUGAAAUGGAACUCCUGCAGUUGUUUGAUCCAGACUUCCACGGUGCAGGCACAAAGAACAGUCAAUAGUGAGGGCACCCAGGCCUCACAGCUGCAACAGGAACAGAAGAGCUCUGCUUUCCCCUGAAAGUGCCUCAGUUGAGGAUGUUCCUUGUCUUUCAAGUCAAGUCACCCUGGCACUUGAAAAGACUUCGUGGAGCACUAAAGUUUAG